rnacentral:lncRNA from 1 species
AUAUUAUGAUAACACAUAAACUAUUGUAUAACACAUUUUCACAAUAUAAAAUCAUUUUACUAAAAGCUUGUUCCCAAGGUACAUUUUCUAAGACAAGUUGGAUAGAAUCUUUCAUAUUUCCCAAAACAAGUUUGAAAUGCAAGUCCACUCACCGGUAUUCGUUAAGCCUUUAGCCGACUCUUAAUCCCCCUAAUGAUCCAAUUGGGGUGAUGGGGCUUCAUUAGCACCUACUAUCAAAUUAACAUUUCCAUAAUGUCAAUUUACAUACUAUAAACGCUAAAAGUUAUCUUUUAGCUAGCUUUCAAUUGCCAUUUAAAUGGCCAUCCAUUUUCACUUUCCUAUCACUUCAAAGUGAAUUAACAAUCUCAACUACAAAAUAUUCACAAAUCAAAUCUCUAGUCAUUCUCAACACUUAAAACCCAAUACUAGUUUACUACUCACCUUGAUAGCUUUGUAACUUUGAACUUCUUUCCAAAAGCUCUCAAGCUAUUAAUAAAGCUUCCUCUUUCUCUCNN